UCNUACGGGAGGCAGCANUUNUNAAUCNUGCGCAANGGUCGAAAGCCUGACGCAGCCAGCCGCGUGGAGGAAGACACCUCUAUGGGGCGUAAACUCCUNUNGUGUGAGAAGAAGGUUNUGCAGUGCAGGGUUUGACGGUAUCCCACGAAUAAGCCCCGGCUAACUCCGUGCCAGCAGCCGCGGUAAUACGGAGGGUGCAAGCGUUGUCCGGAAUCUUUGGGGGUAAAGGGUGGGUAGGCGGGAUUGUAAGUCAGAGGUGAAAGGCCACGGCUCAACCGUGGGAUUCCCUUUGAUUGCAGUUCUUGAGUCCCGGAGAGGUAGUUGGAAUUCGUGGUGUAGCGGUGAAAUGGGUAGAUAUCACGAGGAACCCCCGAGGGGAAAGCGGACUCUUGGACGGGUACUGACGGUAAGGCAGGAAAGGGUGGGGAGCAAACCGGAUUAGAUACCCUGGUAGUCCCCCCCGUAAACGAUGGAUGNUUGGUGUUGCGUUCUUCACGACNUCAGCGCCAGCUAACNCNACNC
rnacentral:rRNA from 1 species